UACGGGGGGAGCAAGCGUUGUUCGGAUUUACUGGGCGUAAAGGGCGCGUAGGCGGCCACCGCAAGUCGACUGUGAAAUCUCCGAGCUUAACCCGGAAAGGUCAACUGAUACUGCGGGGCUAGAGUGCAGAAGGGGCAACUGGAAUUCUCGGUGUAGCGGUGAAAUGCGUAGAUAUCGAGAGGAACACCUGCGGCGAAGGCGGGUUGCUGGGCUGACACUGACGCUGAACUGCGAAAGCUAGGGGAGCGAACGGG
rnacentral:rRNA from 1 species